rnacentral:lncRNA from 1 species
GUCGCGUGGGCUACGUCAUCAGCGAGCAGCGCUGCUACGUCUGUCGUCCCGGGUCCUUCAGCCCUGGCGGCGAGUUCCGGAACUGCAUCCCCUGCGACUUCGGUUCCUACACCGAGCAGCACGGCUCCCCAUUCUGCCUUUGGUGUCCACCGGGCAAGUCCACCUAUCGGCAGGGAAGCACCUCGUCCGAUGAUUGCGAAGUUUCCUGGGUGAUCUAUGCUUUCCUGUUUGGGAUAGCGACCCUGACAUCGCUGGUCCUAUUUGUAUGG